UCAUACUGAUUCUUUCUUGCUAUAAAUUCACCUCUUUUGGCUAAAAAUAUAGCUUGUUCCUUAGUUAUUUGUAGUGUAUCUAACUAAAUUAAACCCUAAGGAGGAAAUUUUGUGCUCUCUUUCACAGUGCAGCUCACACAGAAGAAAAUGGAAUCUGCAGGUUUUCAGUGAUUCUAAAUGUGAUUCAGAAGCUAACUUUUGGCACUCAGGAUAUAUUAUACAGAUUUGAGGAAGGUGGCCUUCUACAGGUGGAAGUUCUGGAGCCAUUGCUGGUCAUUCCAUAGCUGCAGGACGAUGUGAUCCCACCUGCCCGAACUAGUCUCCCGCCACCAGAUGCGGUGUUACACAGUGUCCAGGGGAGUGAAGGGCAUGCGCAGCAGCAGGAGUGCCAGAACCUGGAGAAGAGAAGAGAAGAGAAGAGAAGAGAAGAGAAG